rnacentral:rRNA from 1 species
UACGGAGGAUCCAAGCGUUAUCCGGAAUCAUUGGGUUUAAAGGGUCCGUAGGCGGCCCUGUAAGUCAGUGGUGAAAUCUCCCGGCUCAACCGGGAAAUUGCCAUUGAUACUGCAGGGCUUGAAUUAUUGGGAAGUAACUAGAAUAUGUAGUGUAGCGGUGAAAUGCUUAGAUAUUACAUGGAAUACCGAUUGCGAAGGCAGGUUACUACCAAUACAUUGACGCUCGAUGGACGAAAGCGUGGGUAGCGAACAGG